CUCGCCAUAGUUCAAUGGAUAGAACGGACCCCUCCUAAGGGUCAGAUGCAGGUUCGAUUCCUGCUGGCGGGGCCA
rnacentral:tRNA from 2 species